rnacentral:rRNA from 1 species
CCUACGGGAGGCAGCAGUGGGGGAUUUUGCACAAUGGGGGAAACCCUGAUGCAGCGAUGCCGCGUGGGCGAAGAAGUAUUUCGGUAUGUAAAGCCCUAUCAGAGGGGAAGAAAAAAUGAUGGUACAUGCGGAAGAAGUACCGGCUAAAUACAUGACAGCACCCGCGGUAAUACGUAUGGUGCAAGCGUUAAACGGAUUGACUGGGGGUAAUGGGAGGGCAGGCGGGUCUGCAAGCGUGAUGUGAAAGCCCCGGGCGUAACCGGGGGAAUGCAUAGGGGACUGCCGGGCUGGAGUGCCGAAGAGGUGGGCGGAAUUCCUAGUGUAGCAGUGAAAUGCGUAGAUAUUUGGAAGAACACCAAUGGCGAAGGCAGCCUCCUGGGACGUAACUGACGCUGAUACACGAAAGCGUGGGGAGCAAACAGGAUUAGAUACCCUUGUAGUC